UAACAUAAUAGUUGCAUGCCAAGUAAAGCAGCAGGCUGGGAAAUAACCUCCAUAUCUUUUGCAGAUCUCAGGCACAGUGGCAUCCUUCACCAUGUGGAAGUUGACACUGGCUUCUACCACAUAGUGUGGUUCUGGAGAGAGUCAAGAUGAAGUCCUGUUGAUAGAAGAACUGUGUUUAUUCUGAAGCCUUUGCUCCCAUCCCAGGGAAAGCCUAAGGAGGAGCUCAACAAGCUAAAGGACAACAGUUAAAAGGAUGAUCAGUUCUGGAUGCUCAAAGCCUGGCUUAGUCAGCCUCUCCUCAUGCCCUCCUCCCUUGAUGUCCUCAAUGAUGUGGGAGCCCUCGUGAGGACUCCCCAGCAAGCCAGCCUACAUGCAGUGCAAUGACCUGAAAACUCAGUCAUCUGCAGACUCCAUGACGUGAGCAUGAGUCACUGAACUCUCUAAAUGUUACACUCUACAAGUUAUGAUAAAAAGUUAAUUCCAAGUGGAGUUCACCAUCUCAGACAAUUCUUACCAAUGAGAAACAGAAGAUUGCUGGGGAUUCAGAGAAAGUUUCGUUUUCCUAAUAUGAAGGGUACCUUUCCUUCUUGUUGCCUGUCUUUUCCUCUUUUUUGCCUGGAAUGUAUAGGAAAGACAAGAGUAUACUCACCAUAAGUACAUGACUACAUUCUAAGAAAGGCAGACCAGAAAGACGGAAAGACCCUUGAACCUUAAAAAUAUGGUGGAUCCUACCUUCAGAUGUGUCGUCAGAGAAAAAUGAACUGGCUAAACCACAGUAGACUAAUUUGUGUUCUAUGCAGAAUGCCACCUCUGAAUGACACAGAGCUUUAUCUCUAAGCUCCUGAAGUGAGUGCAUUUGAGUGGGGAAAAACCAAAAAACCCCAGCUUUUGUUUGUUUGUUUGUUUUGAGACAGAGUCUCACUCUGUCACCAGGCUGAAGUGCAGUGUUGACAUCUCAGCUCAUUGCAACCUCUACUUCCCGGGUUCAAGCGAUUCUCCUGCCUCAGCCUCCCGAGUAACUGGGACUACAGGCAUGUGCCAUCAUGCCCAACUAAUUUUGUAUUUUUGGGAGAGACAGGGUUUCACCAUGUUGGCCAGGAUGGUCUCAAUCUCCUGACCUUGUGAUCCGCCCG
rnacentral:lncRNA from 1 species